GGAGCGUGUGGUUUAAUUCGAUGCUACACGAAGAACCUUACCAAGGUUUGACAUGUAAGUGGUAGUGAUCUGAAAAGUGAACGACCCUUCGGGGAGCUUACACAGGUGCUGCAUGGCUGUCGUCAGCUCGUGUCGUGAGAUGUUCGGUUAAGUCCGCUAACGAGCGCAACCCUCACUGUGUGUUACAUGUGUCACACGGGACUGCCGGUUUUAAGCCGGAGGAAGGCGGGGAUGACGUCAAGUCAGCAUGGCCUUUAUAUCUUGGGCA
rnacentral:rRNA from 1 species